UACGAAGGGGGCUAGCGUUGUUCGGAAUCACUGGGCGUAAAGCGCACGUAGGCGGCGUGUUAAGUCAGGGGUGAAAUCCUGGAGCUCAACUCCAGAACUGCCUUUGAUACUGGCGUGCUCGAGUGCGGGAGAGGUUGGUGGAACUCGGAGUGUAGAGGUGAAAUUCGUAGAUAUUCGGAAGAACACCAGUGGCGAAGGCAGACAACUAUCCCAUUACUGACGCUGAGGUGCGAAAGCGUGGGGAGCAAACAGG
rnacentral:rRNA from 1 species